GGCGUCUCUCCAUUUGAUGACGUA
rnacentral:siRNA from 1 species